rnacentral:lncRNA from 1 species
GCAUUUUACAAUGCUUUACUUUUGUUCGAGGAAGGUAGUUUUCUGCAUUACAAUUGCCACUGCGUAGGUUAUUUGUUUCUUCGUGGAGUUGAAUCGUGCGCGUCCUCUCCUUUUUGAAGAUUUCCAUUAAAAUUUUUCUCGUCUUCUUUAUACGCUAGUAAUAUUGAUUUUGUCCCGUAAGAUGUGGUAAAGUGAUGGUGAUAUUUUUUAUGACAACAAAGUUAGUUUUACUCUGUUAUCGCUGCUUAAAUACUCGUUCAUGAAUGAUGUGAUCUUGAAACUGUUACCAGCAGUCGAUGUCGAAAUAAGUCCGCAUUGUGUCCGCUCAAUUUUACAAGAGGUAUGAAGAUUCCUUCGUUUGUUCCUUGCAAUCCUACAUGAAUCGUCUAUGUAUAAGAAUUGUUAAGACCAUACGUUAUUGUUAACAGUAUAUGAAAUCGACUUUCUUCUCUCGUCGUUACGUAUCUUGAAAGAAUCGAGGAUAGAAUACAUUCUUAUGUCCGAAUUAUUAGUAUUUUUUGGACUAGUCAUUGUUCUCACACCACAGUAAUACCAAAUUCAGAUGAUUGAUGGCAAUCAAAAACAUAAGAAGCACAUACUUGCUUGUUAACGAAGCUGCGGAAGACGAGACUCGAAUGAAACGGAUUUUCGAUAGUAUCGUCGACAUCGCUUCCCUGUUCGACGCUACGUAAUAAAAUUAUUACGCGCACAGAUGAAAAAAUGAAAAAACUUUCUCUUAAUUUUUCUUAAAAAUUUAAAAUAAUCUAUACACCACAGAAGUCAGGAAGGAAGAGAAAUGAGAUAAAACGAGAACGAAAAGGAAUGUUUUAUGAUUCCUCUUCUGCUUUUUUUUAUAAAAUGACAGUGGAAUGAAUUUGACCAGCUGAAAAGAGAAAAUUUUUUCGCAAUAAACCAUAAGGAAAAAGAAUUGCUUUAGCUUGGGAGUAGUUUCUACUAAAUAAGAAAUAGUACAAGAAGAAAUUUAUGAAGCGUCUUCGAUUUAAAAUAAAUUUACGAUUGGGUUUAUUACUUUUUUUUUAGAAAAUUCAUCAAUGUCUUCCUCAUGACGAAGCAAAUCCUGAAAAAGGGAAAACUAACAAAAACGAAAUGAUAUUGUUGAUUAAGCGAGAUAUAGGAAUUUCCAUUAAAAUUGUAUUUUUUUUUUGUUGAAAGAUUUAUUGUUUAUCAGUCGUAGACUAAUAUUGCGUGAGAAUCCUUUCAAGUAAGAAGAUACAAAAAAAAACAGAAGAAAAAUUUAAAACGUGAGAUUCACCGUAAUAAUGAAAAUUUUAUAGUAUGACAAAAACAUUUCUGAUAAUAAUGAAAACGAGAACUAAAGGUUUUAUUAGGAUAAAUAAGAAGAUUUUUCGAGAUAAUUUUUAUGAGAGAGAAACGGAGUUAGAUCAGAUAUGAAGUUGGUCAUAAUUAGAAAAUUUUUGUCAUCUUCUACUUCUCUAAAAUUUUACGAGAAAAUCACUUCUAAUAAAGAAUGCGGCCAAUUACCAAAAUUGUUAAAAUAUAUCAGCCAAUGAAGGGAAAAAGAGAAGAAAUUUUUACUGAUUCUUUUUGGAGAGGAAUUUUAUGAAUAUCGCUACAAGUAUAAAUAGCACGCAUUGAUUAAGCUAAAAUUUAGUCCUGCGUUCAGACUCUGAAGUGGAUUAAUUUUAUGUUGACUAUUGACGAGUCGUUUUUAAUUUCAUAUUUAAAAAAUGAAACUUCGCAAGUUACUCACCAAAUUUUUUGUCGUUGCUAACAACUUGAAUAAAAAUUUAGUUGUUGGCAAUGUUGUCAGAUAAUGAUGAAAAAAAUUAUUCAAUUUUCGGAAAUGUCAUGGGUGAAUGCUUUACAUUAGUGUGUAUUAUACACAAACUGGGACAUUGCUGUGAUGAUGAGAGACUGAAAAAUAUAAUCGCUCGUCAUCUAUAAAUACGCGAGUGUUUUGGUCAUAAGGAGGACCCGGGAGGUCACAUAACUGACUUUAAGUGAAACUGGACUAAGAGGUGGCGUCCAGUAGUAAGACGACUUAGUUUAAAGUGACAUCAUCUCGUGAAAGAAGAAGGGGAAGAAGUAUCAGAAGAGCACGAAUUGAACAGGAGGAAAAUAAUGUUUCGUCUCCGCGUGACGUUCCUGUCAUUGUAAUUGCGUAGGAAAUCGAAGAAGAGCAGGAGGGACUAACGCAGGAAGAAGAAGUGGAGUCAGGAGAAAAAGAGGAGGAGGAGGAGGACAAUGAAAACAUUGACAAUGACAAUGUCGAUGAUGGUGUCAAUGAUGAUGAUAAUGAUAAUAAUGCCAAUGAUAAUGUUGCUGAUAAUGAGGAGGAGGACAACGCAAAUGUUGGAUAACGUUGAUGACAAUAACGAUAAUGAAGAGGAGGAGGAAAUACGUGACGAGGAAGAAGUAACUCAGGAAGCAAUAGAGGAAGAAGAAAAAAAUAGAUAUUACGCACCUCUUGAAAGUGAAGGUUGAGGCCAAAUAUCGAACUACCGAUACGCCCGUCGACGGAUAUUAUGAAAUUGAAUCGGUGAACGAGACGUUACGUUAUGUGUUACAAUUUCACGGUUAUUUUUGGCAUGGUUGUCCCAACUGUUACCAAAUCAAUUGUGAAAGGAAACUUCCGUCCGAGGCAUCAUGCGAAGAUACAAUUGACGCCCGAUACGAACGAACCUUCGGAAUGACAUGGCAUCUUCGAUAAUGUAGAUAUAGGUGAUAUAGGGUGAUAUAGGGAGGAAGUGUGAAUUCGCACGAGAAAAGCGCGAGAAUCGCGAGAUGCACAAUUUCCUUGAAAACUAUCCGAUACUAAUCAACCCUCCUCUUGAUCCUCACGAGGCAUUCUUUGGUGAUCGCACGGAAAAUAUCGCAACCCGAUACGAAGUUACGGGUACGAAGAAAAUACGUUAUAUGGACGUAUGUUCUCUGUAUCCGUACGUAUUGAAAACGGCUACUUUUCCAUUAGGCCAACUUACGAUUUACAUGUAUAUCAGAGAACAGUGUUCGGAGCUAAUUGGUGUAGCUCCGAAUUUUGAUUUCGAUUUAAUGUCAAGAGUAUCAUUCGGUGCAUAGUAUUUCCUCUGCGCGAUCUUUUUCAGCCUGUACUCCCGUACUACAUACAAGGCAAAUUGUUGUUCGGACUGUGUCGUAGUUGCUGCGAAACGUUCUCGCAGGCCGAGUACACUUACGCUCUCGAUUGUGAAUUCAUGGGUGCAAGUAUCCUGCGAAUUGCGCAAAGCCCUUGAAAAAGGUUAUCUCAUGACGAGUGUGAGCAAAAUAUGGCAAUUUAAAGUCACAUGGUUCGAUACUUCUUUGUACGAUAAGAUGGUUUAUUUGAUGAUACAUCAACAGUUUUUUAAAAUUAAAGCAGGAAGUGGAUGUCCGAGCGAAUGCCUAAAUGACGAGAGAAAGGAACGAUACCUUCGGGAAUAUGAAGAAACUGUAUCGUUCUCGAUAGAAAUAAUAUCAUCCGAAAUCCUGGUUUUCGGUCGCGAAGCUCUGCUUGAAUUCUUUCUGGGGGGAUAAAUUUGACCAAAUUCCACAGACCAAUUUCCACAGAGAACCAAUUUGCCUAAUACAGAGAUCAUCAAAAAAUAUGAACGUUUGGCAAUGUUGCUCAAGAAUUCAGAGCACAAAAUAACCAAUAUAUUGUCUGUCAACGACGAGAUAACAUAUGUUUUGUGGCGACUACGCAAAAAGACGGUUGCGCCUUCUUCGCAAACCAACUCUGUAAUCGCGGCAUAGACGAUGUCACAAGCGCGAAUGAUAUUAAAUGAAUAUAUAGAGAAAUUAGGUAGUCGCGUUUUAUUGCGAUACAGACUCGUGUAUUUACGUAAGCAGAGGCGAACCGAACGAGUACGAGUCGCGUACGGGAAAUUUGACGGACAAACUCAAAAAUUACGGACGGAACAGUUUUAUCAAGUCAUUUGUGUCCGGAAGCCCGAAAUUCUACAUCGUUUGUACACCGGAAGGUCGUCGGCAUGAGAUUUGUAAAGUUAAAAGAAUAACAUUAAAUUAUAAGAACUCUCAAAUUAUAAAUUUUAAUAGUAUUAGAAAAUUAAUAAUGG